rnacentral:rRNA from 1 species
AUCCUACGGGGCGCAGCAGUGGGGGAUAUUGCACAAUGGGGGAAACCCUGAUGCAGCGACGCCGCGUGUGGGAAGACGGUCCUCUGGAUUGUAAACCACUGUCCCCAGGGACGAAGAUGACGGUACCUGGGGAGGAAGCCACGGCUAACUACGUGCCAGCAGCCGCGGUAAUACGUAGGUGGCGAGCGUUGUCCGGAUUUACUGGGCGUAAAGGGAGCGUAGGCGGAUUUUUAAGUGAGAUGUGAAAUACUCGGGCUCAACUUGAGUGCUGCAUUUCAAACUGGAAGUCUAGAGUGCAGGAGAGG